rnacentral:rRNA from 1 species
AUCGAAAGUCUGAACGAGAAAAAUCCUGCUUGCGGGAUGAGUAAAGUGGCGCACGGGUGAGUAACACGUGGGUAAUCUACCCUUGAGACAGGGAUAACAUUCCGAAAGGGGUGCUAAUACCCGAUACGAUGAGGGCAUCAAAAGCUGCCUUCAUGAAAGGUGACCUCUUGACAAAGUUGCCGCUCAUGGAUGAGCCCGCGUCCCAUUAGCUUGUUGGUGGGGUAAUGGCCUACCAAGGCAAAGAUGGGUAGCUGGUCUGAGAGGACGAUCAGCCACACUGGAACUGAGAUACGGUCCAGACUCCUACGGGAGGCAGCAGUGGGGAAUAUUGCGCAAUGGGGGAAACCCUGACGCAGCAACGCCGCGUGAGUGAUGAAGGCCUUCGGGUCGUAAAGCUCUGUCAGGUGGAAAGAAGAGGCCGAUUCCGAAUAAGGGUUGGUCUUGACGGUACCACCAAAGGAAGCACCGGCUAACUCCGUGCCAGCAGCCGCGGUAAUACGGAGGGUGCGAGCGUUGUUCGGAAUUAUUGGGCGUAAAGCGCGUGCAGGCGGCCUGUUAAGUCAGUUGUGAAAGACCUUAGCUCAACUAAGGAAUGUCAUCUGAAACUGGCAGGCUUGAGUACGGGAGAGGAGGGUGGAAUUCCCGGUGUAGAGGUGAAAUUCGUAGAUAUCGGGAGGAACACCCGUGGCGAAGGCGACUCUCUGGACCGAUACUGACGCUGAGACGCGAAAGCGUGGGGAGCAAACAGGAUUAGAUACCCUGGUAGUCCACGCCGUAAACGAUGGGCACUAGGUGUAGAGGGUAUUGACCCCUUCUGUGCCGAAGCUAACGCAUUAAGUGCCCCGCCUGGGAAGUACGGCCGCAAGGCUA